AACAAAGAACCCUACGGAGGCUUUGCCUCCACACAGGACACAGUGGUAGCAUUGCAGGCCUGGCCAAGUACGGUGCUUCCACCUUCAGUCCAGAGGGCGCCAGUACAGUCAGUGUGAGCUCGGCCGGAGGCCUGAAGAUGGAGUUCACUGUGAAUCAGAACAACAGGCUGCUCUAUCAGGAGAAGCAGUGAGGGAGGUCCCUGGAGACUACAACAUCAAGGCAAAGGCAAGAGCUGCGUGUUUGUGCAGAUCGCCAUGCACUACAAUAUUCCCCCUCCUCCUGACUUCUCUGCUUUCAACAUCUCAACACAGACGCUUGGGAAAUGUGACGGCACCAAAGAUCUCUGAUAGUGUCUGUGGCUGUCAGGUACAAUGGUCGGCGAGAAGAGACCAACAUGGUGAUCAUCAAUGUCAAGCUUCUCUCCGGCUUUGUCCUGGACAAAUCCUCCCUCGGGCCUGUGA